UGGGGAAUAUUGGACAAUGGGCGCAAGCCUGAUCCAGCCAUGCCGCGUGGGUGAAGAAGGCCUUAGGGUUGUAAACCCCUUUCAGCGGGGAAGAUAAUGACGGUACCCGCAGAAGAAGUCCCGGCUAACUCCGUGCCAGCAGCCGCGGUAAUACGGAGGGGACUAGCGUUGUUCGGAAUUACUGGGCGUAAAGCGCACGUAGGCGGAUUGUUAAGUCAGGGGUGAAAUCCCGAGGCUCAACCUCGGAACUGCCUUUGAUACUGGCAAUCUCGAGUCCGGAAGAGGUGAGUGGAAUUCCUAGUGUAGAGGUGAAAUUCGUAGAUAUUAGGAAGAACACCAGUGGCGAAGGCGGCUCACUGGUCCGGUACUGACGCUGAGGUGCGAAAGCGUGGGGAGCAAACA
rnacentral:rRNA from 1 species